UACGAAGGGGGCUAGCGUUGCUCGGAAUCACUGGGUGUAAAGGGCGCGUAGGCGGCCUGAUCAGUCGGGGGUGAAAGCCUGUGGCUCAACCACAGAAUGGCCUUCGAUACUGUCGGGCUUGAGACCGGAAGAGGUAAGUGGAACUGCGAGUGUAGAGGUGAAAUUCGUAGAUAUUCGCAAGAACACCAGUGGCGAAGGCGGCUUACUGGUCCGGAUCUGACGCUGAGGCGCGAAAGCGUGGGGAGCAAACAGG
rnacentral:rRNA from 1 species